AAAUAAAUCAUUAUUAGGUAAAAGCAAAUAUAUUAAGAGUUAUUUACUCAAGAAAUAUCUUUCUAAAUAAACGAAGUGAACUGAAAUAUCUAAGUAACUUUAGGAAAAAAAAUCAAACGAGAGCCUAUUUUUAAUGUGAAUUAAUGUAGGAUGAAACUUAAUAGUUACAGGAUUAACUUUAAGGUAGCAAUAUAAGUAAAAUGGUUUAUCUGUUUGAAUAAAGGGGAACCUUCCUCUAAAGCUAAACAUAUAUAUAUUAGCUAAUAAAACGACGUCGUGAGGCACGUACUGAAAAAGUGGUUUUACAAGCAGCUUAAGAGAAGUUUAAAUAACAAACUCAAGUUUACCUCCUGCAUAAUGGGUCGGCAAGUUAAUUUUACAUGCGAGCUUAGUGGUAGCUUUUUAGCUUAACAGCAGAGACAAAAAUAUUUAACACCAUUAUAUAUAGGUACUUGUACCAGUCUCUGCCACAUUAUAGCGCAGAGAGAUCGAUUAUGAAAAAAUGAACAGUAUUUAAAAUUAGACCCGGAGGCUAGUGAUCUUACCAUUAUCAAGAUUAUAAAAGUCUGAACGGAAUAUCGUUGUAAUGAUAUCC
rnacentral:ncRNA from 1 species